CCUACGGUGGGCUGCAGUGGGGAAUAUUGGACAAUGGGCGAAAGCCAGAUCCAGCCAUGCCGCGUGUGUGAAGAAGGCCUUCGGGUUGUAAAGCACUUUCAGUGAGGAAGAAAGCCUUGGGGCUAAUACCCUCGAGGAAGGACAUCACCCACAGAAGAAGCACCGGCUAACUCCGUGCCAGCAGCCGCGGUAAUACGGAGGGUGCGAGCGUUAAUCGGAAUUACUGGGCGUAAAGCGCGCGUAGGCGGUCUGAUAAGCCGGUUGUGAAAGCCCCGGGCUCAACCUGGGAACGGCAUCCGGAACUGUCAGGCUAGAGUGCAGGAGAGGAAGGUAGAAUUCCCGGUGUAGCGGUGAAAUGCGUAGAGAUCGGGAGGAAUACCAGUGGCGAAGGCGGCCUUCUGGACUGACACUGACGCUGAGGUGCGAAAGCGUGGGUAGCAAACAGGAUUAGAUACCCCAGUAGUC
rnacentral:rRNA from 1 species